rnacentral:rRNA from 1 species
AUUGAACGCUGGCGGAAUGCUUUACACAUGCAAGUCGAACGGCAGCACGGGGGCAGCCCUGGUGGCGAGUGGCGAACGGGUGAGUAAUACAUCGGAACGUGCCCGGUCGUGGGGGAUAACGUAGCGAAAGAUACGCUAAUACCGCAUACGAUCUGAGGAUGAAAGCGGGGGACCUUCGGGCCUCGCGCGAUCGGAGCGGCCGAUGUCAGAUUAGGUAGUUGGUGGGGUAAAGGCCUACCAAGCCGACGAUCUGCAGCUGGUCUGAGAGGACGACCAGCCACACUGGGACUGAGACACGGCCCAGACUCCUACGGGAGGCAGCAGUGGGGAAUGUUGGACAAUGGGCGCAAGCCUGAUCCAGCCAUUCCGCGUGCAGGACGAAGGCCUUCGGGUUGUAAAGUGCUUUUGUGCGGAACGAAAAGGCUCUGGCUAAUACCUGGGGCUCAUGACGGUACCGGAAGAAUAAGCACCGGCUAACUACGUG